rnacentral:rRNA from 1 species
GAUCGGUCGUGAGUACCCGCUGAACUUAAGCAUAUCAAUAAGCGGAGGAAAAGAAACCAAC